UUUGCCCGUAGGGGAUUGGACUUUUGCAGAAAGUGGCAAUCGUGUCUUCACUGUUGGAACGGAACAAGAAGAGGGAUAACAAGACAAAGAGAGAAACUGGUCGUGGUGUUUUAAGGAAACAAGAUCAGAAGGAAGGAGGCUGCGGUUUACUUAAGAUGCAUGGUAAAGAGAAGAGCAAUCAAUAAAUUUGAUGAGGCUGCUACCCUUUUCACCUGUUUUGUGGGGUUACCUGUCGAGUUUCAAGGAUGAGUGUAAUACAUGAUGCUUUAGGUAGAUCGCUGAUCAUUGGGGGUUCAAAUUAACAUCGCGUUUUAUGAAUGUUUGGGAGGAGUAGUUGCAAGUUGAAAUAUGCAACAACAGUGGGCCAUGCAUGUUUUAGAGAAGUAUUGGGAUUGAGUGUCGCAUAUAAAUAUAUAAUCCAAUUCAAGUGAAGGGGUGCUUGACAUGCGAUUAAUGAACACACAACAUUCACGUGAUAUGUUUGAGUUUGGAAGUUUUAUGGCUUAUGGAUGAAAACAUGGGUUAAACUAAAACCAAUAAAGUUUAAAUAAGAAAAAAGUCAUUCUACAGUACAUGAACAUGGAAGAUGAGGUACAAUUUCAUCAAUUACAUUAAUUUUAUAGAUUCAUGGAUAUAUAUAUAUUUAACUAGUAAAAAGUGAGUAGCGAAUACUUUGUGGAUGGGUUGAAUCUAUAAAUUUAUUAUAUUAACAUUUAUAUUUGAUGGACUUAAUUAAGCGAGAAAACAUGCUUAAUUAAAAGGAUAAAAAGAUAUUUAUGGUCUAAACGAUAAAUUUUAAUCCUAGUUUUGAUACACAUUUUACCUAUUCUCGGUUAGAUAGAAGAUGUUAGUAAAAAUGUUUUCAUAUGACAUAUUUGUUUUUUUAUAUAAUUGGUCGUAUAUGAUGGUUUUGAUGCACGAGGGUAUCUAGGAUCGGACAUCUUUUCAAUCGAUGAUAUUAUGAAGACAUAGCUUUGACUAAUCAGUCGAUAUUGAGGUUGAAAGAGCUUAAGCUUUAUUGGUUAGUUGCACGAACUUUUUAGAUGGUCGUGUGACACGUGGUUCAUGUGCACCUCGAUGUAUGGGAACUGGAGUAGCGUUGGCUUUAUGGUGUGGUCGGAUCAAAUAUCACGUAGGAAUCGGGAGGUCGGGGUAGCGAAUUGGGGUUGGUGUAUUCGGGUGGAAGUCAUGAGCCACUUAGAACACUAAACUGGCUAAGCACACGAGUAGUGAACGUGGUUAUGUUGUUGUGUAGACUGUCCCUAAGGAACCCCAAAGUAGCUAAUCGAUUGAAUUAAAAAUUACAUAUAAAAAUAGUGAAUUAAAUUAUACGCAAUAAUGGAUUAAGUUGAGUUGAAAACUAUAUGAUUGAAAUAAAUUAUGUUAUAAUAUUACUUGUUUUUCUUGACUAUGCCAUUAUCAUGAUUUGCAUGGAUGACCCAUAUGGCAAUUGUGUGUUUAAUUUUUGGUUGUGUACAGCUUGUUGGCUUACAAGGCAGUUGCUGACACUUGUAUCUUUUCUCUUUUGUACAUUAUGAUUGGUGCAGGUAGUUUAGAGGAUUGGCCUUAAUGAGAGGGGUUCUUAUGGGUAGUAGAUUUAUAUUAACGAUACCACUCCUGGACACGUUUUUUAUUAUUUACUUUAAAGUACUUUUGUUUACAUUUUAAAUGGUUUGAAAUUAUGAUUGAAAUUUUGAAGUAAUGUUGUUGUUUUGAAAAUAUUUUGAGUUAAAAACUAAGUCUUCCGCUAAUGUAUUCUGUUAAACAAAUGUUUUAAAUAGAAAAAAAAAUUAUGGUGAAAAUCACGACGUUACAAGUUGGUAUCAGAGUUGGGGCACGAGUUGAUAUGUUCGACGGGGACGUUGAAACUUACAAUGGGGGGUGAAGGUGGGUU